GCCACCGAUGGCGAUGGGGCUCGCCGAGAACCGCACCGCGUGCUGAUAGCUCCUACCGACGA
rnacentral:ncRNA from 2 species